rnacentral:misc_RNA from 1 species
UAGAGAUUAACAUUAAGUUAAGUUACAUCAAAAUCUCUAGCUAAAAAAUUUAGACACUCGUGAUAUUAAGAACAAAAACAAUAUUUCUAAAAUUAAAACUAAACAUCAUCUUUCAAAAAAAAAUAAUAAAAGAAACUAAGAAUAAAAAAAAUGAAGAGAAAAAGAAAAACUCUAUUAUUGAUGCCAAAAUCUACCUGCAAGCUCCUACAAAUCUCCUCUUGAGCCUUCUUCUUUCACCUAAUUUUGUGAGAAAAAUGAAUGUUAAAAACCCCAAAAAUUG